AUUGAACGCUGGCGGCAUGCCUUACACAUGCAAGUCGAACGGCAGCACGGGGCAACCUGGUGGCGAGUAGCGAACGGGUGAGUAAUGCAUCGGAACGUACCUUUCAGUGGGGGAUAACGUAGCGAAAGUUACGCUAAUACGCAUAUUCUGUGAGCAGGAAAGGAGGGGAUCGCAAGACCUUGGGCUGAUUGAUCGGCCGGUGUAAGAUUAGCUAGUUGGUGGGGUAAAGGCUCACCAAGGCGACGAUCUGUAGCGGGUCUGAGAGGAUGAUCCGCCACACUGGAACUGAGACACGGUCCAGACUCCUACGGGAGGCAGCAGUGGGGAAUUUUGGACAAUGGGGGCAACCCUGAUCCAGCCAUGCCGCGUGAGUGAAGAAGGCCUUCGGGUUGUAAAGCUCUUUCGGCCGGGAAGAAAUCGCACGGGCUAAUACCCUGUGUGGAUGACGGUACCGGAAUAAGAAGCACCGGCUAACUACGUGCCAGCAGCCGCGGUAACAC
rnacentral:rRNA from 1 species